UACGUAGGGGGCAAGCGUUGUCCGGAAUCAUUGGGCGUAAAGAGCGUGUAGGCGGCCCGAUAAGUCCGCCGUGAAAGUCCAGGGCUCAACCCUGGAAUGCCGGUGGAAACUGUCGGGCUGGAGUCCGGAAGAGGCGAGUGGAAUUCCUGGUGUAGCGGUGAAAUGCGCAGAGAUCAGGAGGAACACCCGUAGCGAAGGCGGCACUCUGGGCCGAUACUGACACUGAGGAGCGAAAGCGUGGGGAGCGAACAGG
rnacentral:rRNA from 1 species